rnacentral:rRNA from 1 species
UACGGGGGGUGCGAGCGUUGUCCGGAAUCAUUGGGCGUAAAGAGCUCGUAGGCGGCCUGUCGCGUCUGCUGUGAAAUCCCGGGGCUCAACCCCGGGCGUGCAGUGGAUACGGGCUGGCUGGAGGCAGGCAGGGGAGAACGGAAUUCCCGGUGUAGCGGUGAAAUGCGCAGAUAUCAGGAGGAACACCGGUGGCGAAGGCGGAUCUCUGGGCCAUUACUGACGCUGAGGAGCGAAAGCGUGGGGAGCGAACAGG